CUGGUGUUUAAGUGUUAGGUGACGGGCUUGUAGCAUUUGUUGUCAGUGCACUAAGAGAUAAACAGUUGUGAUUUUCUGCCACAUCAGCAGAGUUUGAGGGGAGAUUCAAACGGUCCAGCGCGCUGUUUGCCGCCCUUUGAAUUUGGUAGUGACACUUACCGACAGUGCACGCACACGCUCGGUUUAUCAAGGCCUCUGUAGCUACGUAGCUGCGUGUUAUAUUGUGAGAGUUGUACUGCAGUCUCAUAAUAUAACACGCCGUUUCCCUGCGACCUACAAAGGCAAACAAACAUCAGAACCUUAUAUUUUGAUUACAGUUAUGUACAACAUAUUUGCAGACCCUCGCUCUCUGUCCGAUGGUGGGAGUGUCCUUACAAGUGUGCGUACACUCGUAUGUGUACUUACGUUUGAGUGACACGUGACCUUGUAGAAACACAAAUGACACACUGUACUAAGAUAAGUAACAAGGCGAUUUUUUGGGGGGGAUUAUUAUUAUUAUUAAAUAAACCGACAUGGGCUUAAUUUGCCUCGUUGUUUAAUGUUGACCAAGAAGAUGUCUUGGUAAAGAUAUACAUUAUUGUCAUUAUUUGUGGACUACUGUGGUUGGCAAGACAGCUGUGGUGCAGCUGUGUCUGAGAGAAUGAGCCAGUUUACUGUCACUGACUAAAUGAAACUCUUUUUGUCUUUGUUUUUUUUGGUCUGAUUUAUGAGCACAUGUAAACCUAAAGGGCACCAGGGUCAUCGUCUUAUUGGUGAGACGCAUUAGCACUUGAAAGGAUCAAAUCAUUGCAGACAACACUGACUUCUCUACUGGAAUUUAAGCAGUAUUUCAAACUGGACAAUCCACAAGCAGAAGAAGCACGAGGCACCCUAACAAAGCACAUCCCCGCUUCAAAAUCCAAAGAGCCGGACGAGCUGAAGUGAACUUUCUUCCCAACUUUCCCCAAGAAUAAAACCAGAGCAGUGUGGAAGAAAUGAGACUGCAGAUGAAACAUGAAGUUCAAAAGAGUGACUGAAACCUGAAGUUAAUAGAAAACUUCAUGCAGAUGACCUUUGCCCUCCAUCACCAGAUCAUUCAGGCACAUCCAUUGGUGAAAGACUUCCUGCAGCCGGGCCUUCAGAUCCAAUCACAGGUUUGUGCUGAAGUCCACGGUAUCCCAAAUGUCAGCCUGUGUAACCAGUGUUAUGCUGAUUAUGACAAACGCACACCUAGACUGUCGGCUUUGUAGCGGUACAGAAAAAAGGCAGCACGCACGGGAAAGAUAUCGGGCACACUGCGUGAUGAGAUCCAGCAGUUUCCAGAUGUUUGCGUGAAAUGUUUGGCGGUCCUUCGUGCCCACCCUGUGUACCUGUGUGAAGGGGACCCACACUUCCUGAAGACAUAGAAUCCGGAGAAGACAGAUGCUCAUCAACACUCCUGUUGUGCUUGUAACAGCGGUGAACGUGUGUUGUACAAGUCCAGUUAACAUCACUCCUGCAAGCACUGCAACGGUGGUGGAAGAUGAUCAUGUAAAAAGUGAAAUCCCCAUGUGGACCGAUGCAUUUACAUUGUUGUUUGGAUUGACACGUUGCAUUUGGACUGCCCGAGGGAACCUGUUCACACUUUGACCUUCAUUCAGAAGAUCCUGAUGGGUCUGGAUGGCAAAGAACUGAAACCGUGACUUCUCAGUCUAAAUAAUGAACUGUUUCUAACAGAGUAAGUAAUGUUUCGUGCAACUGUUCUGUUUGUUGUUUGCAUGCAUGUACACCUGCAAAUAUGUUUGUGGUUUCAAGUUCCAUGACUUGACAUUAUGCUGAAUGC